UAGGUUGAAGCCAGUUGUUUAGGGUAAUUAGCUGUUAACUAAUUUUUCGUGGGUUAGUCUCCCACCGACCUAG
rnacentral:tRNA from 1 species